rnacentral:rRNA from 1 species
GAGUUUGAUCCUGGCUCAGAUUGAACGCUGGCGGCAUGCCUUACACAUGCAAGUCGAACGGCAGCACGGAGCUUGCUCUGGUGGCGAGUGGCGAACGGGUGAGUAAUAUAUCGGAACAUACCCUAGAGUGGGGGAUAACGCAGCGAAAGUUACGCUAAUACCGCAUACGAUCUAAGGAUGAAAGUGGGGGAUCGCAAGACCUCAUGCUCGUGGAGCGGCCGAUAUCUGAUUAGCUAGUUGGUAGGGUAAAAGCCUACCAAGGCAUCGAUCAGUAGCUGGUCUGAGAGGACGACCAGCCACACUGGAACUGAGACACGGUCCAGACUCCUACGGGAGGCAGCAGUGGGGAAUUUUGGACAAUGGGCGAAAGCCUGAUCCAGCAAUGCCGCGUGAGUGAAGAAGGCCUUCGGGUUGUAAAGCUCUUUUGUCAGGGAAGAAACGGUGAAAGCUAAUAUCUUUUGCUAAUGACGGUACCUGAAGAAUAAGCACCGGCUAACUACGUGCCAGCAGCCGCGGUAAUACGUAGGGUGCAAGCGUUAAUCGGAAUUACUGGGCGUAAAGCGUGCGCAGGCGGUUUUGUAAGUCUGAUGUGAAAUCCCCGGGCUCAACCAGGGAAUUGCAAUGGAGACUGCAAGGCUAGAAUCUGGCAGAGGGGGGUAGAAUUCCACGUGUAGCAGUGAAAUGCGUAGAUAUGUGGAGGAACACCGAUGGCGAAGGCAGCCCCCUGGGUCAAGAUUGACGCUCAUGCACGAAAGCGUGGGGAGCAAACAGGAUUAGAUACCCUGGUAGUCCACGCCCUAAACGAUGUCUACUAGUUGUCGGGUCUUAAUUGACUUGGUAACGCAGCUAACGCGUGAAGUAGACCGCCUG